rnacentral:lncRNA from 1 species
AAAAUUUUAUUCAACAGGAUACAUUUGCACAUAUACGACAAAAACAAAAAUUCAACCAUAAAACUUGCGAAUACAGAACACAGAUUUAUUAAAACUGUAAUUGUUUCCUACACAUUAAAUAAUAUUAUUCCAGUACAUCUUGCAAUAGAUAAUUAUCAACAAGCUUCUUAUCAUAUUUAUUUGGUCAAUAAAUUAUGGCAUUUUUUUGAGUUUACAUAAUCUGGUCUUCUCUUAUCUGAUAAUGUUGGUAGAACACCUUUUAAAAUCUUUAAAUUACUUUUUAGUAUUUUUUUACCUUAAUCUUAUGGAGUAAACAAUUUAAGGUUGUAUGCCAUGUAAAAUAUCUUGGUCUCUAUUAACUACCAAACUAUUUUUCACAUUUAUUUCUUCUGCAACAAAACUUCUAAACACAACUGGCUGUCCAAAGGAAAAUAUCCUUGCCUCUUUCUUAAAGGAAGUAUUUAACUUCAGUUGGUCAGAUUUAGCGUCCUACUUGUUUUCAUUGUAAUCUAUAUUUUAGACCAAAGCCUCACUGAAUAUAGCAGAAAAGCUUUGACUGUUGACAUUGUGCUUACUGUUAAAAUUUACAAAAGAAAUCUCCAAUUAAAAUUACAAACAAGUCACUCUGGUCCUUUCACAUUGAAACUUUAUUUUAUAACUCUCAAAGAUUGCUAUGGUCAUUACCAGUUAAAUAAGAUCUUUACUGUACUAAAUAUCUGAUAAUUUGAUUUGAAUUUUUAAUUUAAUAAUAAUCUAAUUUAGGAUGUAGCACGUCUUCUAAUUGGCUGACAGUGUUUUGUCUAUCAGCUCAUAGAUAUCAUUUUGUCUUGUGACUGUGACGUCAUCAACUUUUUUAUGUUUUACUCAGGUUUAAAAUGCAAUUUAGAAUUAAAUUAUGAGGAAGGAUUGCAAAAUUUUUCUGUCUAUUUGAAAUAACAUAUAAAAUUUUGGUGCACACUUCAGAGUAACCCUUAAUGCACGUUAUUCAGUGUGCACCAUAUUUUUGAUGUUGUUUCUAAUUGACAAUUUUUUUUUUAUAGUUAUUCCUAAAGUAACUAAGUGUACAAAGAAAUUUUGUUUGACAGAUAGUAUAAAGGAAUGUCCACUGGACUAAAUAUUCAUUUAUAAAUCCAUUACCUCAGAAAACUCUGAUUUUUCAUUUCCAGAUAUAUAAUAUCAGAGUAAAAUCUCAUACAAAAAUAUGGAAGAACAAAGACUUCAACAACAUUUAACUGAGUGUAUAUACAGAUAUCACAUGCAUGUCUAAUAGAAAAUAAUAUAUUUCCACUACCAGGCAAUUAUAUAUUAUAAUUUUAACCUUUAAACCAUUCAUUAAAGUAUCACCAAUGAUGCUAAAAACAGCAUCUGUGUAAUACUUAAUAUCUUUCUUCUAGAAUACAUUUUUCUACUAAUAAUAAUAGAAAUGACAAUGUAAAAGUUGAAAAAAUGAUGUGGAUACCAUUAGAAUAAAUAGGUACUUACAGCUUCAGAUUGUUUCUGGCACAUGCUUUCAAUAGUUGAGUGUUUUUAUAUUAUGAUAGUUAAGAUUAUAUGUAAAUAUUUACAUUUUACGAUUUUAAUCUGUACACAAUAUAUAUUAUUCUCGGUCAAUUAAAAUAUUGCAAGACAUGUUUUUGACAUCAAUAUGAUGUCAUGACUGAUAGGUUUUCUCAGCAACAAGACAUGUAUUAUCUGGUUAUACUAAUACUAAAGCUUCCAUUUAAAAAAAGAUUUCUCAUUUCAAGCAAUAACAAAACAGAUGUAAAAUGGGACAAAAAUCUACUCAUGACAAAAAUGUAAAAUAUUUGCAAGUGCAAACUUUGAAUACAAAAACAUAUAUACACAAUUAAAAGCAGCUGUUUAAGAUAAAGGUUCAAUGUAAAAUGCAAAUACACAUACAUAUAAAAGACAACAUUUAAAAAUACAAUUAUAAAUGUUUUACAUAUUAUUAUCUAGUAUAAUAUACAGGUACAUAGUAAAAUUUAAAUCCUUAUGAUAAAAUACAAUGGGUUCAAUUUUUUCUCUAAAAUUCACAGGAAAAUGGAUGCAUAUAAUGAGAUCAUAACCUUCAUUUAUAACUUAAAGUGGUAUAAAACACCAUGGCUAAACUUAAUUUGGCUAUUUUAAUUUUCUUAAAUAUGUUUAAAUUUUAUCAGAAAAAUUGAAAAAUUUGACCCCAUAUUUACUUUCACCCGACAAAAAACAUUCAUUUUGAUCAUAGAGAAGCUUUAUAUUUCCUGAACAUUAGAAUGUGAUUAAAACCUUCAACUGAUUUUUUCAGAGUUAUCUCCCUGUAGUGUUAUGUACCACCUUAUUAUAAAGUUAACCCUUUCCUCCAUAAUGACGCCUUUUGACGCCACCCCCUUUACUCCAUAAUGACGCUUUUUGACGCCAGUGUUGUACCUCAGUUGAAAUGCUUUGACUACAAAAUGUCUGCAUCAGACUUAAAAAAAUUGUAUCCAAUAUGAAAAGGAUUUUCAUGAAAAUUAUCUGACUUAAAUUUCAUUGAUGAAAUAUUGGUUUUCACAAUGUAUUAACACUUUAAAACUGAUGUUGUUUUUAACUGAAAAAAAUCCUAUGCGAAUCAAGUAUAUUACAAAAAAAAAUCCAUGGAGGAAAGGGUUAAGUGAUUUUUUUCGAAGAAAUAAAGAGAAAGCAGACUUUUCAAAAAGGAAUAUAUUACAUAUGGAAGACAGAAAUAAACAUUUCAAAAUUGCUAAGCUUAGUCUUUAAAUUAAAUACAAGUCAUAUAAAAUGCAAAAUUCCAAUAUUGAAAUUUAUAUACAAAAAUACAAAAUACAUUUAUGGCAGUGAAACAGCUUAUUCAUGAUAAUACAUAUGUACUAAGAAAUCGAGUUUCAGAAAAAUCUUUACAUAUGACACGUUUAUACAAAAAAAAAAGUCCAAUAAAAUAAAAAUGCUUAAAUUGUGUGAAUAACCCACUCAUUCUGUUCAGUAGAACCUGAGAAAAGUGUGACCAAAAGUUUAAAGUUUAUUUGACAUAUUUAAACAAUUCAAAGUAUAGGAAGCAGGAAGUAAAAUGUCAGACAGAUAUGAAAAGUGCUGACACAUUACAACUCAUCACUGUUAAGCUGCUGACCAUAUAUGAAGUCAAUCUGUCCAGUAACUCCUGGGAAAAGGGUUUUCUGUGAUGAAAUAACAUUUAAUUUCAGUUGAAAAAUAAUGAAAACUUUUAAUUUUAAAUAUGACAAUGACUAGUUUUGCAUUUUAGUGCCAUUUUCAGUACUUGUAAUUUAGCCCUAUUUUAAAGUGUCAAUGGACAUAAGCUUAUAUGUUUAACCACAACCAAUUCAAUAUUAAUUUCAACAGAAAGGUUCAAAUCUUCAUCCUUUAAUUUAGAGACUUUGUUACUACAAGACUUUAUUUUUGGAAUCAAAAUUCAACUUCACUUUAUCUACCCUAAAUACUACAGUAAAUUGAGAAAUUACUGAUAGGUUUUUAUCAAUGAGAUAAUAGAACUUGAUAGGUAUCACAAUGAAAAGAAAGUGCAUUAUGAUAUAAGCUACAAACAUCUGUAUGCAGUCUUUUCUGAAAUUGCAGUAAUAAAUCAUGUGUUUUUGUUCAUUCUUCAAAAUCGAAAUAUUAAAUGCAUGCAGUAAUUUCUGAAUUUAAAGUAAGUGGCCAAAUUCUUGUUUCCUUCCAAAAGUAGAUAAACUAUAAUCACCAAUAAAAUUGAUCUUAACUGCAUAUAAUUGUCAUCAUACAAAAAUUAGACAGGUACAAUGAAACAAAUUCAGAUUACAAUUUCCAAUAAUAUGUAUAAAAUAAAUGUUUAUGGCUCUGCUGUAAAAAAAAAAUUUGUAGUUUACAGCUAAAACUAGGGUUUAAUGUUAUAAAAACAAAUGCUUUCUACAAAUCUGCUUUUCAUACCUGUGAUCAAUAUCUCACAUUUAACACUUUCUCUAGUUGAUUUUUGACAUACAGUUAAAAUAAAAUGUUUCAUAAACACGGCACAAUAAAUGUUAACGGUAAUUCUGAUCAAAAGAACAUAUAACUUUGAUUUAAACCAAAGAUACAUAUGUGGCAUGGUUAAAAGCAAUCUCCUAUAUAGUUGUA